rnacentral:rRNA from 1 species
GACGAACGCUGGCGGCGUGCUUAACACAUGCAAGUCGAACGGAAAGGCCCUGCUUUUGUGGGGUGCUCGAGUGGCGAACGGGUGAGUAACACGUGAGUAACCAGCCCUUGACUUUGGGAUAACUUCAGGAAACUGGGGCUAAUACCGGAUAGGAGCUCCUGCUGCAUGGUGGGGGUUGGAAAGUUUCGGCGGUUGGGGAUGGACUCGCGGCUUAUCAGCUUGUUGGUGGGGUAGUGGCUUACCAAGGCUUUGACGGGUAGCCGGCCUGAGAGGGUGACCGGCCACAUUGGGACUGAGAUACGGCCCAGACUCCUACGGGAGGCAGCAGUGGGGAAUAUUGCACAAUGGGCGGAAGCCUGAUGCAGCAACGCCGCGUGCGGGAUGACGACCUUCGGGUUGUAAACCGCUUUCGCCUGUGACGAAGCGUGAGUGACGGUAAUGGGUAAAGAAGCACCGGCUAACUACGUG